rnacentral:misc_RNA from 1 species
CCGAACCGUAAACACGAGUUGUUGCUGGUCCCCAAAUCGGGGGCAUGUGCACGCUCUGUUUACACAUCCACUCACACCUGUGCACCCUCUGUGGUUCUAUGGCUCGAGGGGCCUUGUCCCUUAGCCGUGGUUCUAUGUCUUUACACACAUGCCGUAAUAAAGUCUCAUGGAAUGCAUAUCGCGUGUAACGCAAUACAAUA